rnacentral:rRNA from 1 species
UACGUAGGGUGCGAGCGUUAAUCGGAAUUACUGGGCGUAAAGCGUGCGUAGACGGUUACAUAAGUCGGGUGUGAAAUCCCCAGGCUCAACCUGGGAAUUGCUUUUGAGACUACUAGACUUGAGUACAGGAGAGGUGAGUGGAAUUCCCAGUGUAGAGGUAAAAUUCGUAGAUAUUGGGAGGAACACCAGUGGCGAAGGCGGCUCACUGGCCUGUAACUGACACUGAGGCACGAAAGCGUGGGGAGCAAACAGG